rnacentral:misc_RNA from 1 species
GAAAUGCGAUAAGUAAUGUGAAUUGCAGAAUUCAGUGAAUCAUCGAAUCUUUGAACGCAUAUUGCGCUCUCCGGCAUUCCGGAGAGCAUGCCUGUUUGAGUAUUGGCCUAAAUGAGAAUCAUCCUUUAAAGAUAUAAAAAAGAACGUUAAGAACCCUCAGUUGAGACUUCUCGACAAUUCAUUGCCGAGUGUUUUAAAAUACAAUAGUACCGCCACGUUUGCGAACUUGGAGUAAUAUGUGAGCCUGAAAAGGUGACCUCUAUUCUCCUCGGAGCACGUAGACCUGUUAAGCGGGAAGUUUUUGAAUGCCGAAUUAUGGGAGACGGUGUUCAAUUGUUCGAGUAACGACGAACGAAAUAAACUCAAUCUCAAAUCAGGUAGGAUUACCCGCUGAACUUAA